GUAGCUCCCUGAAGCGGAGGCGAAGGGGAGUUUAAGCCCCAGCGGCGGCGAUGGCGGAGAGGCCCGAGGACCUAAACCUGCCCAACGCCGUCAUCACCAGGAUCAUCAAGGAGGCGCUCCCGGACGGUGUCAACAUCUCCAAGGAGGCCCGGAGCGCCAUCUCCCGCGCCGCCAGCGUCUUCGUGCUGUACGCCACAUCCUGGUGAGCGGGACAGAGGCAUAAGGGAGGCGCGGGGAUACCUGGCUGGGAGUUGCUGGCCGGGACCUCACAAACCCCAACGAUUGUGUCCUUCCUCGGUGGGGACAGGUUCACAGCCCUCUGCCAGUUCUUACAAGUUCUGAAGCGAAAUACCACAACAAAGUAACUUUGCUUUAGCUUUUUUGUGCAGAGAAGGGAAGGACUUAUCCCUGUCACACCAAAAUCCAUGCAUGUAAGAGGCAGGCUUUCCCGUUCCACCUCUGGGUGCUCCUUUUCCCACUCACCCCUUACAAACAAGAGGGAGUCUUGACAGCUUUUCUCUUCUCUCAGUGCUAACAACUUUGCAAUGAAAGGAAAGCGGAAGACGCUGAAUGCCAGUGAUGUGCUCUCAGCCAUGGAAGAGAUGGAGUUCCAGCGGUUCGUUACCCCAUUGAAAGAAGCUCUGGAAGCAUAUAGGCGGGAGCAGAAAGGCAAGAAGGAGGCCUCAGAGCAAAAGAAGAAGGACAAAGACAAAAAAACAGACUCGGAAGAGCAAGACAAGAGCAGGGAUGAGGACAAUGAUGAAGACGAAGAAAGGCUGGAAGAAGAAGAACAGAAUGAAGAGGAAGAAGUAGACAACUGAAUAGGGCGGGAGACUGUGGCACCUUGGAAGGUACCACUUGAGAUGAGACGUGCUACAUGUUUCUGUGAAGUUUUUCCAUGCUGGGCAGAGUAGUCUUAGGCAAAAGUGCCUGAAAAGAUCAGAAUAAAAACUGACUAGAAAUACCAUCAAAACCAGCACUUACCAAACUCAGAGCAUCUGAGUAGCAGAAUCCUGUUUUGCUUCAUCAAUCUGAAGGUUAUGACCUUUCGACAACAGGGAUUCUGAACGGCUAAAUUAGUCAGUUUGCUCGCUUUUGUUUACUUAAAUGUAUGGUUAGAUGGUUUUUGAUCUGCAGUCUUCCCUAUUCCCCCAAAUAAGUAAUAAUAACUUCCAUGCUGCCUGCUGUGUUCCAGAUCACAGAGGCAGCCAAGGCUCAGGAAAAAUUGGGGCUUUGCUUAUGGUCAGCCUAUGUUUGAUUGCACAGUCUUUGACAAUAGUAGCUUACUAAGACUGCUCAGAAUGAGUAAGCUUUAGGAAACUACUAAAAUGCUGUGGGAGAAUAACAAAAUCUGUUCUGUCUCUUCACUUGACAGAAGCAUUAAUUGAAUUUUGUUUUCCAUAACCCACUUGGCCCAAAACCUUUCUAUAUUGCCUGUAGAUGAUCGGCCUGCUGGUGUGGUAGUAAUCUGAUCACAGAUAUUCUUAAAUCAGCAGUGUGGAAUGGUAUUAGUCAGGCAUGGUGCCAGUGUCUUACUUUUACAAAAACAGAUGGCAUAGUGUCAGAUGUACCUUACUCUCUGCUACUGUACAGCUUUAGGAUUUGUCAUCACCUCCUGGAAGGUGUAAAACCCCAGCCUUCCUCUUCUUGUAGUCCAUCUCCCAGACUUGUGACUGGCUUUUCAUUCUUCAAUUCACGAUGAGUGCCAAACUUGAUUUUCUCUAGGCACAGCUUUCUCCCUCUGCGCCUCUUGCUUCCUUUCUCUCUCCUGCCUCUCCUCUGCUCCCCAUCCCACUUUCUUGUCUCCCUCCUUUUCUCACUUCUGUCAGUCUGUAUGCUUUGAUUACCUGCUUAAUACUCCAAAGUGUGAGUUCCUCUGAUCUCUUGAUUCCUUAGUUCUAAUCUCACUUUUUGUUUUUAAGAGAUGGGGUCUCUCACUCUGGCCCAGGCUAGAGUGCAGUGGCAUGAUCAUAGCUCAUUGCAUCCUUGAAAUCCUGGGCUCAGGUGAUCCUCCUGCCUGAGCCUCCUGAGUAUCUGGGACUACAGAUGCGUGCCACCAAGCCUGGCUAAUUUUGUCUCAUGUCUUACUAAAAAUUAUUUUGUGAAGCCCCUCUGAACCUUAAGGGAAAUCUGAUGGUGCUCAGGAAUCUAACUCUCCCCAAACCAUCCUCUUUAACUGCUUCUAAAAUCUCUCUCUUGGCCUUUCUUAGCCUUUUUCUGUUUCCAUUCAGUACUCCAAGCACUUUUUGUUUCUAAGUUGAGCGCUUGGGGUUUGACAGGUAGUGACGUGAAGUUUGACACUGUUAACUUGUUAAAUACAGUGAAAAGUUUGUGAGUGAAGAAUGCUGAGAAGAUUGUAAUGCUUUGUACAAAUAAAAGUCUUGUUAAAAAAA
rnacentral:sRNA from 1 species